rnacentral:rRNA from 1 species
UACGUAGGUGGCAAGCGUUGUCCGGAAUUAUUGGGCGUAAAGCGCGCGCAGGCGGUCCUUUAAGUCUGAUGUGAAAGCCCACGGCUCAACCGUGGAGGGUCAUUGGAAACUGGGGGACUUGAGUGCAGAAGAGGAAAGCGGAAUUCCACGUGUAGCGGUGAAAUGCGUAGAGAUGUGGAGGAACACCAGUGGCGAAGGCGGCUUUCUGGUCUGUAACUGCGCUGAGGCGCGAAAGCGUGGGGAGCAAACAGG